rnacentral:lncRNA from 1 species
GAUGACCAUAGUUGUCUUGAAAUAAGAAGGGGUUGAAUAAGUCCAUAUGGCCAAUAUCGAGGGUUCUUUGAUCUUGAACAAGUAUCACAUCAUAGUACAAAUUCUUUAAUGUCCUUCUACAUUUUAGGCCAUUAAAAGUUUCUAGACAAAAGUUAUAAGGUCUUAUUGAAUCCAAAAUGUGCAACUAUAAAGAAGUCAUGGCAUUGUCAUAUUACGUGGUGUUUGGCUUGAAAAUACACCAAGCACCUAAUUGUGGAAGAUAAAAGGGAAAUUACAACAACAAGUUCUAACAACUUUAAUAGAUUCUUAAAUAAAUUACAAUUAAAGAUUAGUAAAUAUAAUUAAACAUCGAUCAAAUUCAAUCAAAAUUUCAAAGAAAUUAUGUAAGAAAUACAAAGUAUUUUUAGAGACCCUUUAAAAAAUCAUAAUUAAGUAAUAUAGAAAUUUAAAAAUAUUCUAAAAUAAAAAAUUUAAUAAAAUAUUAAAAUAGAAACUUUAAUUAAAUCCUAGUCAAAUUCUAAUCAAAUUCUAAAUAAAUCCUAAUCAAAUCUUAACAAAUCCUAACCAAAUUCUAAUCAAAUCCUAAAAACAUCUUAACCAAAUCCUACUCAAAUCCUAAACAAACUCCAAAAGAAUCCUUACCAAAUCCUAAACAAAUCUUAAAUAAAUCCUAAAUAAAUCCUAACAAAUCCUAACCAAAUCCUAAAUAAAUCCUAAAAAAUCCUAACCAAAUCCUAAAUAAAUCCUAAACAAAUUCUAAUCAAAUCCUAAACAAACCUUAACCAAAAUCUAGUCAAAUCUUAAACAAAUUCUAAACAAAUCCUAACCAAACUCUAAAAAAAUUCUAAAAAAAUCCUAAAUAAAUUCUAACCAAAUCCUAACAAAUCCUAAAAAUAUUUUAAAAAAAUCCUAACUAAAUCUUAAUCAAAUUCUAAUCAAAUCUUAAUCAAAUCCUAAAAAAAUAUUAACAAAAUCCUAGUCAAUUCUUCAUCAAAUCCUAACCAAAUCUUAAACAAAACCUUAAUAAAUUUUAACCAAAUCCUAAAAAAUCCUAAUCAAAUCCUUAUCAAAUCUUAAUUAAAUCCUAAAAAAAUCCUAACCAAAUUCUAAUCAAAUCUUUAAAUCCUAAACAAAUCCUAAUUAAAUCCUAAUCAAAUCGUAAUCAAAUUUUAAAUAAUUCUAAAUA